rnacentral:rRNA from 1 species
UACGUAGGGUCCGAGCGUUGUCCGGAAUUACUGGGCGUAAAGAGCUCGUAGGUGGUUUGUCGCGUUGUUCGUGAAAACUCACAGCUCAACUGUGGGCGUGCGGGCGAUACGGGCAGACUUGAGUACUGCAGGGGAGACUGGAAUUCCUGGUGUAGCGGUGAAAUGCGCAGAUAUCAGGAGGAACACCGGUGGCGAAGGCGGGGUCUCUGGGCCGAUACUGACGCUGAGGAGCGAAAAGCGUGGGGGAGCGAACAGG